rnacentral:tRNA from 1 species
GCCUGGGUGGCUCAGUCGGUUAAGCGUCCGACUUUGGCUCAGGUCAUGAUCUCGCGGUCCGUGGGUUCGAGCCCCGCAUCGGGCU